AAAUGGUAUGAGGAAUUCUUUCAAUUUUUUAUUUUUAAUUUUUCUUUUAUUUUUCUGGAAAUAAGUACUGUUGUCUUUCUCACUUCACACUUGAAUUCGGGACAGAAGGUGAGGGGAAUGUGGGCUGAAAGUUGGGGUGUCUGUGCCAGACAGUUUGAUCCUGCCUUUUUCUGUAUUAUCAUGUAUUAACUUUUUAAUUUUCCAUUCCAGCAUGAAUUUUAGUGUUCUGUAACAGCUGUCUUUUCUUCUUGAAUCCUAAAAAUGUAACAAAUUUAUUUUAAUCCAAAUCAAUCUUUGUAAUUUUUUUUUUGAGAUAUGUUGACAGUUUUUCAAUCUCAAAAAUUAUCAGUUAAGGUGCCCCAUAGUUAUCAAGGAGAGUCUGUUUGAUCUUGGCUGUCUUCCUUCAGCUCAAAGGGUCAAAUCUGGACUUCAAAACUGCAAUGGAUAUCCUGGUUUGCUGAUGUGAGUACAGAAUUGAUUAAUGGAGCAAGGUCAAGGCUUAUAUUGAAGGAUCAUGACCUACUUAAAAUACUUGGUUUUAGCUAGAUAGAUGCAUCUAUAAACAGAAAUCAACUAAGCUGGGAUCACAAAAAUUACAUUUCUGGUAAAGUGACUAACUAAUAGCAGGUGAGUUGCAUAAUUGGUCACAGGGUAGACUAUAAUGGGGCAGGUAUUCUGAGAGGCCAGCAACACAUGGGUAGAUGGGAUCACAAAAAUAACACUUCCCGUAAAGUGACUCAUUUAGCAGAUGAGGUGUAUAACUGGCCACAGGGUAGACUAUGAUGGGGCAGGUUUUCUGAGAGGCCAGAAGUAUAUAUGCAGCAAAAAUUGACCUAAAAACUCCCCCGCGCCUGAUCUAUCAGGAAAUUGUGCCAUUUCAGUCAGAAUAUGAACACGGAGUAAUAAUAUGAAGCUUUCCCUUAUUGAAUGGGUUUAAUGGGAGUGUAUUUUUA